AUGUGCACCACGAAGGAGGUACACCGCGCCGCCGAGCUUAUCGCGAUGGAGAAAAAAGUGAAAGUGGAGGUGUCGGAGAACGAGGAGGAGGAGUCAGGCGCCGAGGAUGUGGACGCAACCAUGGAGGAAGACGCGAAAGAGGUGUCGAGCAUGGAGCCCGACGGUUGGAGCAUGCCGAAGGCAGAUUUCCAAACCGCCCAGGCUGUGGAGGCAGCGAUGACUUUUGAGGCGGAGCAGACCGUCAUCCUUGACUCAAUUCAGUCCGAGCGGGAGGUGGCGGCCAGCCGCCGCCGUACCACCUCAUGGACAUGA
rnacentral:rRNA from 1 species